GGCGCGCCGUCCCUGCAAACGCCGCCUGCCUGCUCCCCUGAGCGGGCCAAAGGCUCAGCCACCCGGAGAAACCACCUCCCCAGGAUUCUGAGCCCCGCAGGAUCCUGGUUUCUGCCUUCCCUCCGGGAUUUACAGCUCCUCAGCUAGGAAACCACCGCGAUGCCACGGCAACUGCCGCUUCCCUCCUCUCUUCCUCCUCAGCCAGCUCUGCUGGAUGAUUCCAGAAUUGCCCUCCAGCGCCAGGCUCCUGUGUGGCCCCUCGCCCCAUCCCUGCUCGAUUUAUCUUCCAGGACAACCAGCCUCCAGAAUUCAACUGCAGGCGUUCACCCCCAGGUGACUCCGGGGAUCCUAGACCCCCAAAGGCUCUGCCUCCAAGGCGUAGUCAGAUCAGCUUUCCACCCUCUUGAUACCUUAACACACCCAGCCCACCGUCCAAUACUCCCCGAGGCUUCAUAUCCAGACUCCUGCACACUUCUCCGAUUUACAGUUGUCUUGUUCAGUUCCUCUGUCUUCUCAACGCCAUUGGUGUUUUUGGUUUUUUGCUCCAUCACAGGGUCUCUGGUGACAGCAGGUGACCUGAAGAGACCCAGAGGAGCAGGAGGCUGUGUCUGUUCUCAAAGCCAAGGCCCCUGGGAAGAAGAAACAAAGCCUCCUCUCUGGGCCUCGGUGUGUCUGCUCCAAGAAGAGACUGAGUGAGCCAGGCUGGGGCGCGAUGUGAAGGAGGAGAUGCAAGCAACACAGAAGGUGUGAAAAUUCCAUGAGCUUUUUACAUGCCAGGCCUAGUUAAUCCUGAGAAGACCUGCCAGGGAACCAUAAAACUCAUGAUCAAGAGCACGGGCUGGACUCCCAGACUCCCUGGUUUGCAACCUCAGCUCCACACCCAAUUGCUCCAGAGGUCAGCGGAGCUGUGGGUUGGUGCUCGCCUCAGACACCCUCAUCCUGCUGAGUGGGACCUCGGUUUCUGCGGCUGAGACAGCAGAGCUCCGGGGGAAGUUACUGCCCCGGACUGUAUGUAAGUGGCUGGACCCCGACAGCCUCUGCAUUUGGCUGCUUUCUUCUGUCCCUCCAGCCAGCAGAAGGGACGAGAGAGCGAGAAGCGGCCGAGGUAGCUAGAGGUUCCAGUCUGGCUGCUGCAGACUGGUCUGCGGCGCUGUGGAAUCGCCUUUCCAUGGCCACCAGUGCCAGGCCCGGAGGAGGCAGACCUUGACCGAAUUCAACCCAAUUUUAGCAGCUGGGGAUUUUAAUGGUAAGUGUGGGGAUGAGCCAAGUGUGGGUGAAACACUGCUGGUGGCAGGCAAGGAGGGAAUGACCAGACAGCCGCCAGUGCCUGCAGAUGCUUUGUGACCACGAGGGGGCAGCAGAGCCCAGGCCCUGCCUUAGAGCCGACUGCAAGGCCGAGCUGCUCCAGCGCGAAACGCGUCCUGAGCCGCCCGGCCCGGGUCCUAAUAAGCCAGCUCCAAAAUGUUAAGCAUGACAGCGAUGAAGGGGACUUUAGAAGCGACCUGGUUCUUAUCUGGUAGAGAGCCAGACGGCAUUCAAAGGCUCAUAUGAUUUCGCCCAAAUCGAAGCCGGAGAACUGAUGGCAAAGUCGGAAUUAAUACCCAGGGCCCUGCCUCUAGCGCUACGGAGACAAACGUGAGCCCAUUUCCAGGAGGAGCAUGCGGAGAGUCCGUGCUCCGUCUGGAAGUGAGUCCCUGCCUCGAGCAAGAGCAGGCGAGGCUUGCCUCAUGACACCCUGGGGUGGCAGAUGGAGUCCUCCUGACGCCCCUCGGCAUCUCUAGACCCCAGCGCAGCAGGGCCACUUCCCGUAGCGAGGAGGAGACCACGCCGGCGGCGGUGGCGAGACACCCGACCGCGCACAGUGUGACAGGAGGAAGGGCUGCGAGCCACGUAGAGUAACAAAAUUGCUUUUAUUUUUAGUUUUUAUAAAUAUAUAUAUAUAGUAUUUGCUAAUGACAAAACAGAACCCAUAAAAGCAAGAACGUUAACAAUACUUAUGUUCUUGGAAAUGCAAAGAUGAACGCUGCGUGUUUUUAAACAGAUGCUAGGUUCUUGGGCACCGGGGCGCCGGGCGCUGUCCUUGGUCCUGAACGCGGCUGACUGCAGCAGGAACCUCUGGCGCGCGGUGGGAAGGCCUCCUCUGGCGUGGUGCGCAGCGACCCCACGGGAGCUGCUGCGUGGUCUCUGUCCUCUUCCUCCUCGGUCAGCGCAGGGCUGCGCCUCAUCUGGUUCCCAAUGCUCGCAGCGGGGUCACUGCUCCAGUAGGAUGACCGGGUGGAGCUCUCACUCCCGGACCCGCAGCGGCCUGCAAAACUCCUUGUCCUUACAGCUGGGUGCCUACCACCUGGGGCCUCUGAAUACGGACCUGGAAAGAGAGGGAAGCUCUGAGCGCGGGAGGUUAAGAGGCUUGGGCCUAGAGAAGUGCUCGGCUUAGAACUUGUUCUAGAACCUGAAGCCUGGCACCAAAAUAUAUGACUUCCUUCCUUCCCCAUCCUGGCAUCUGGCCCGAGGUUUCACGUCUGCCCCAAGGCUCCCUGUCUAGAGUACAGUGUCACUCGGUGCUCCUUCUGUCUCACUGCAAUAUCAGUGUGGUCAUCAAGGUUAGUCUCCUUUUAACCCAGGGACCAGUCUUGGCCUUAGUCACCAUGCGAUGCUACGCAUCUCCUGAGGGCUGCGGUGGGAGCAAAUGAGUCUUAUCAUGCCUUGAUGGUUGGUUGGUUUUAAUUUUGAACUAUAUAUCUAAGUAAAAACAAUACUACAGAUAGUGUACUUCCUCCAGAGAGCAAUGUUUAAGUUGCAUAUUUUUUCUUCAUAUCUGUCUAUUCAAUUUUGCUGAGCCAUUUGGAAGUCAGCUGCAAAUAUCACGACAGCCGCUCCGUCAGCCCUUCUGUGCAUAUUCCCAAAUGGUAUCACAAAGGAAUAUUCAAACUUGGAGUACUGGACUCUCUUCAGUUCCAUCCUAGACUCUUUUAAAAAUAUAAGGCUGGGCAUGGAGGCACAGGUCUGUAAUUCCGGCACCCAGGAGGCUGAGGCAGGAGGAUCACUGCAAGUUGGAGACCAACCUGGACUACAAAGGGAAUUCAAGGCCAGCCUGAACUACAUAAUGAAACCUUGUCUCAAAGAGACAAAAACAAACAAACAAAACCUCCACAUUUUUAUUUCUUUUGUUUUUGGAGACAGGGUCUUACUUUGGAGCUGAAGCUGGCCUUGAACUUACGGUGGCCCUUGCUUCAGUCUCCCUAGUGCUGGGAUCACUGGUAUGUACCACCACACCCAGCCAAAAACACAGUAUAUUUUUAAAGCAUGAGUUGGUUCCAGAUGAAAAGACAAAAAAAAAAAAAAAAAAAAAAAAAAAAGGAAAGAAAGAAAGAAAGAAAGAAAAGUCAGUGAGUGAAAUUUGUUGUAUCUACAUAUGGAGAAAAUAGUUACCAAAGAUUCUUUAGGCUGAAUGUGGCACAUGCCUGUGAUCUCAGUGCUCUGAGGCUGAGGCAAGAGGAUCACAAGUUGGAGCCCAGCCCGGGCAACUCAGUGAUUUAGUGAGAUCCUAUCUCAAAUAAAAAAGGGUGAGGCUGUGGCUCAGUGUGAAGGGCCUGGUGUCAAGCCACACUGCUGAGAGAGGAUUUCUUAGGUUGUUAUAAAAGUUAGAUACUGGGUAAUUCACUGUAUGCAGGGAUGAUAUUUGGGGGUAGGUAGCGAAGGGUUGAGGGAGGGACUGUGGUCAUAUCCACAGCUGACUUCCAAACGGUUCAGCAGACAUUGAAGAGACAGAAGUGAAGAAAGAAAAUUUGCACCUUAAACUCUGGAGGAGUUAUACAAGUAUGUACUGGGGGAGGUAUACAAGUAUGUACUGUAGUAUUGUUUUUAUUUAGAUGUGUAGUUCAAAAUUAAAAUCAACCAACCAACCACCAUCAAGGACGUAAAGUGCGGGAUGGAACCCCAGGGCCCGAGGCCUCAGGGUCUGUGAAGGCAGAGUCCACGUCGCUCAGGCUUCCUAUGGAGUUACACUAAUUUCCUGGCAGCUGGGUCUAGGGACCAAAGGCCGGACCAAAUGAAUCAUCAGUGUGACUUUGCUUUCCUGAAGGUCAUCACACAUGGGAAGGGGGAUGCAGGCUCAAGGGAAAGGAGGCCAAUCUCCUGGCCAUGCUACCUUGGCUCUGGAGUCCACGUUGUCCAGGGAGGGCUGGAAGUUACCGUAGAUAGAGUCCAGAUGUGCAAAGUCUAGAGGAGACGGAAGCCCCGCCGAGACAGAUGGUUAGGACAGUGAACGAUCCUCUCACCCUCAAAGCCCACCCAGAGAAACAGAACCACUGAAAAUGGGGCAGAUUAUCUAAACCAGUGGUCCCAAACCCCUGGGCAUAGGCCGCUGUGGGUCUGUUAGGAUCCAGGACACACAGCAGAGGGUAAGCUACAUUCUCAGCCUGUUUUAUUUUUUAUUUUGAGACAGGAUAUUACUAACUCUCUAAAUUGCCCAGGUUGGGCUCAUGCUUGCGAUCUUCCUGACUCAGCCUCCCAGAGUUUUAGGAUUACAGGUGUGUACCACCACGCUCUCUGAUUGGCUCCCAGAUGAUUUAAAGAUAGGAAAUAACACUUCUCUUCCCACUGUUAAGCCCUGGCAUCCUUCCCUGUGCCUCCUCUGUGUGUCCCCAUGCUCUGAGCCACUCAGCCCAGUGGGCAUUGCCAAUACCUUCCCUGAUGUCAAAGUUAGCAUUCCAGAUGGUUCCAGGGAUGGAUCUGCCACCGUCUUCGUACCACUUGAACAACUGAGACACUCUGAACUUUUCUCUAUUGACAGAAACACCAGAGACCUCAUUAUGCCCAGGGAGCAGGGAUAAGGACAGGGGGACAAGCCACGGGGACAAGCCAUCAAGCGGGGAGAGACUGACAGCACCGAGAAGGGAGGAGUAUGUGGCGGGGCUGGGGGGCUCACUUUUUCGCCACUCUCCUGCUGUGCAGCGCAAACACCAGGAGGAUGACCAGGAUCAGGAGCAGUACCACGGCGCUUGCACCCGUGAGCCCAUACACCAGGCUCUUCUGGAUGCCCCACUCACAAGUCUCCCCCUGGUACCAGUGAGUAGCUGUGAUCAGGCAGCUGAGAACAGAGAGGACGGAGGCGGAAAGAACAGUCAGUACCUGCCUUGGACCCAGCUGGGACCCAUGCGUGCCUUAAGCCCUGUUCCUCUCCUCCCUGGACCAGCAGGGGAGCCCCUCCUACAGGAAAUGAUCCCAGAGUGACUCGGGCCUCUGCUCAUGAGGCUCCUGCUUCCAGCCUGGUGCUGGGCAGCUGGUGACUCUGUUUAAUUCAGUUUCAGCUGGCAAAGCCUCUCUGAGGCUGGGCUUGGCAGGUUCCCCACUCCCAUGGCUAAGUGGCCACCUUUGGUACUCUGUGGCAAGGAAUGGGGUUCUGAUGGGGUAGGGGGCCUAGGAGCUUCCUGAAGCUCGGGUCUUCCUUUGCUCCCUCAGAUCUUGCCGAUAUCCUCAGCCUUGUGCAGCACAAUAGGACACCAGUUCGGGCAGCUCUGGAGUCAUCCAGGGGCUCUUCCAGUCUUGGCCGUGGGGCUCUGCCGCGCAGGUCCCUCUGACCCCAGUGUGAUUCUCUUGGGACUGGAUGCAGUCAGGACUCUGUGACCUCAGCCUGCAGGCAGCAUCUGACUGAGCCCAAAGACAGGCUCUGCCUCUCUGUGCCCUGGGAGCUCAGGGAUGAGACAGAGAGAGAGAGAGAGGACAGGACAGGAGGUCAACACCAGGGGCUCCUACCUAUCUAUCGGUAUCCAGCUAUCUAUCAAAAUGAAGCCUAUGUUGCACAGAACGGGCUCAAGGAAUCCUCCUGUCUCAGCUUCCCAAGUCACUGGGACUACAGGGAUUCCGGCGUAAAUCUGAUUCAUCUGAAAGAAGAGGGCCCUGCAUCAUCCUGGAGAUCCCACCUUUGGGCCUGCCAGGCCUUUCCAUGGACAGAAAGCACCUCUGGCACUGUCCAGUCCUCAACCCCCCUGCCUGCAAUGCAGUGCCUUUCCAGAGCCCAGCACCACCCUGGUACCACCCCUACUGCAGCCCCUCAGGCAAGCUCCCUGGUAACCCCAGAGGGCAUGGAGGAGCUGAGAAAUUCACACGUAUCUACCAGGAAAGCAGCCCUCAGCUGCUUUCUGUGCAUGUGUGAACACAUGGCACUAGGCACUGAACCCAGGGUCUUCUCACCAGCUACAUCCCCAGACAGCACCCCCCUUUUAAAUUUAUGAUGGAGACUAAUAAAUCACCCAAGUAGGACUCAAAUUUGCACUUCUCCUGCCUCAGCCUUCCAGAGUUCUGGGUCUACAGGCCUGCAUCACCGCACCUGGCUUCUUUCUUAACAUCUCUGGCUCCUCCCUGGCGGGGAGGGAUUUGCUCUCCCCGGAUUACCUGAUCUGUGAAUGUGGUAUUGAAAUUCUUGAAUUCUUCCGAAGACCGGUUCUCCAGCUUUGUGUUGUACUGCUGACUGGUCACUGUCACAGAUAGAUCCAUGAGAGCAGCGACCGACCGAGGCACAGCUGAGGGGAGAGGGCAGCACUGUUUACCGAACCAACACCCCAUGGGCUCCCUACCGAGGAGACCUGUACCCACGCCCCAGCGCCGGGUGGAGGCAGAGACCUGGGCCUCGUGUCCUGUCCUGAGAGGCCUGGGGCCUCACUCACCCAUCUCCAUGCCGUCGACCACAUCUUCACAUUUUGGCCCAUGGAAGAGGAUGGUGCACUGGCACUUGAGCCCAUCCCAGGAGCCUCCGUUGUGGCAGACGUUGGCCACGUACUGACACCGAUCUCCCUCAAAGUUGUCGGGGCACUCGCAGGCCUCCCCGUUCCAUUUCCCACCAUUGAGGCAGCUCACUGGAAGACACAGAUGGCACAACACGUCAGAGCCUGGAACCUGGUCCCGAGGACAGCGGCACGACACCCCACUGCACCAGGCAGGAGGAAGAGGCAGAGACAGGCUAAGAGGCCGGGCCGGGGUCCAGGUCCAGGUGGGCUUGACCCAGUCCUAGACUCCAGUUCCUGUUACUUCAGCCCAAAAAUGUGAGCAAAGACAACUGCGGGCCUGUGCCAGGGGAGAGCCGAGGGAAGGGAGACGGGAGACAGAGGCCGGGAGAACCCGGGGGAAAUGACCCCUGAGGCUGCACCACAAGCGCGGUCCUUCAGUGCCUGCUUCAGAAGAGCACCACUGGACCUUGUUGCUUUGAGGGCUAGUUGGCCUUCCUGUUUGGUCUCCUAGCAUGGGAGGUGUGUAGGGUUUAAACAGCCAGCAAGUGCUUAUGGACAACUCGACUGUCCACGCUGAUCAGCCGAGAACAUCCAAAGCUCUGUUCUCUUUGGCUUUCCUUGAAAAUCGCUGUGCCUGUGUAGAUCAGAAUCCAGGUGUGUUUGUUCUGGGGAGGUACACGAGGUAGGAGUACCCUCUGCAGAGACGUGCCACACCUCUGACCUCUGAUCUCAGCAAGAGGGGACACAGCCAUGACAAUCACAUCACGCAGCUGCUGUAUUUCAUCCAAGACAUUUUGGAAGCAUGGACAACAUAAGCCAAGGGUCCUGGGCAAACGGGAGACCCGAAAAUCCUUAAUCAGCUCAUUCCCUACCCUUUUCUCCCCCUCUUUCUCCUUCGGGCAUUACUGAGGGUGCCCAGGCACAGCUAACAAGAAGCUACGAAACGAUUUCAGAAAUGUUUAAAAACAUUUUUCCUUCUUUGAGUAUAGGAAAAAAAAAAUACCAAUCCCGACAUUGUUGAUAAUUAAGAUUAUGGCAAAUUACACUGAAAUUGUAGUUGCAAUAGUUUGCUUUCAAGAACUAUGAGAAUCUGUUAAUGUAACUAUUAAAUUAAAAGUAGCUUGAAAAGAUGUUAUAUAUUCAUAAUUAUGCUGUCCCACAAACAUUGGCAGUUUUGCUGCCAAUGAAUACUUCUGAUACUUUUCUGUGUUACAUCAAAAUAUUUUUAUGGUUUUUGUCUAUUGUAAAGGGAGCAAAGUUUCUUUUUUUGUGAAUAGAUACUUUUUUUUUUGUACCAGGGAUUGAACUCACAACAUCAUGCUUGCCAGUCAGGCACUGAGCUAAAUCCCCAGCCCAAUAGAUACAUUUUUGAUCUAUUUGCUACUUUAAUAAAUAAUGAACUUAAUUAAUGAUAAAGAAAAAGAAGCUACAAAUAUAAAACCAGCUUCUGGGAUGUGCUGACCUAUAGCCCAACAGCCUAAAGGGAAGGGCAAUCUUUGGUGGACAGGAAGUGGUGACCACCUGCCUUCAGUGAGGUGGCCAGUGCCAGCUGUGGUGCAGCCAUCUGGCAUUUUUGUGAGACACCUGCUGCAGUCUGAAUAUGAUUUGUCCUCAGAGGUUCCUAUGGGAAACCUGACCCCAGUGUGAUGGUGUUGAGGCAGUGCGACCUUCAAAAGGUAGAGCCAAGGAAGGUCAUCAUGAGAAUGUCACUUUCAUGAAUGAGUGAUGCUGGACUCACGGAAUGGAAAGGACCUCCAGGAGUGAAUUAAUUCCUGGAUUGUUAUGAAAAAAUGACCCUGGCCUCUACCCCACUUUUCCUCCCUCGAUGGCAGAUAUGACCCUCUGCGUGGGCACAUUUUCCUUUCCACUCAUCCACCAUGUUGUAAUGCCACCAGAGGACCCUUGCUGUAUCCCAGCAUUGUUGCAGUUUAGAGCAGUGUCCCUCAAAAUUCUCCUGUGUUCAGAGGUAGGGAUUUGGGAAGGCCGUCUACUCAUCAGUGAGUUAAUAACUCAUGAGUUCAUUGCUCAGUGUGCUGUCAGCCUGGCUGAGGUUGAUAACUGAGCUGUGACCUGGAAGACUAUGUUUCGUCUCUGGUUCUUGUCUCUGGCUUGCUUCCUGAGCAGCAUAAAGUGAGCUGCUCUCCUCUGCCAGGCCCUUCCACCUUGCUCUUUCUGCCUUGGAGCCAGCUAACCAUGGACUGAACCUGGUGGAACCAUAAACCAAAUAAACUUCUCCUCCUGUAA